GAGUGAGCGUUGGCGGCGUGCCUAAUACAUGCAAGUCGAACGAAGACUGUAGUAAUACUGUCUUAGUGGCGAACGGGUGAGUAACGCGUGGGUGACCUGCCCCGAAGCGAGGGAUAACAGUUCGAAAGAACUGCUAAUACCUCAUGUGAUCACCGGUUUUAGAAUCUGGUGAUUAAAGGUGAAAAUCACUUCGGGAGGGGCCUGCGUCCCAUCAGCUAGUUGGUAGGGUAAUGGCUUACCAAGGCGAUGACGGGUAGGGGACCUGAGAGGGUGGCCCCCCACAAUGGAACUGAAACACGGUCCAUACACCUACGGGUGGCAGCAGUAGGGAAUAUUGCAAAUGGGCGAAAGCCUGAUGUAGCAACGCCGCGUGUGCGAUGAAGGUCUUCGGAUUGUAAAGCACUUUUUGGAGGGAUGAGGAAGGACAGUACCUCCAGAAUAAGCCUCGGCUAACUACGUG
rnacentral:rRNA from 1 species